rnacentral:rRNA from 1 species
AUGAAUAUUGCCCUUCUAUCCCGGUGGCUGUGGCGUAUCACGCAGGGUCAUGGUGGCCUCUGGCUGGACAUUAUCCGGAAUAAGUACCUGCGUGGUCAACCCCUUGCCUUCUGCCAGAAAUCGGGAGGUUCUCAGUUCUGGCAGUCCCUCGUCCAGCUUCUUCCGGUGCUCCGCAUUGGUACCUCUAUCUCGGUGGGGUCCCGCCUCUCGACGCUCUUCUGGUUUGAUCGUUGGGCCGGCGACUCUCCCUUUGCGGCCCGCUUCCCCACCCUCUUCUCUAUCGCUGUCGUCCCCAUGAUCUCUGUUGAUAGGGCCCUUCUUGACUUAGGGCGCCUCGCUUUCCGUCGGCCAUUUGGGCCGGCGGAAUCCGCCGCCUGGCAUGAGUUGCUUGACUGCGUUGCUCUGCAUGAGUCGGUGGUGGAUGGGGAUCAGGAUCUUGUGCGCUGGCACCUGGAGCCGUCGAGCCAGUUCUCUACCAAAUCGCUAUACUUGGCCAUUGCCCCCUCCUCCGCUCCCCUCCCCCUAUCGAUGGUAUGGUCCGUCCGCGUCCCCCUGAAGAUUCGCAUCUUCAUGUGGCAGUGGAUCCGUGGACGGAUCCCGUCCGGUGUGGAGGUCCGCAAGCGUAAUGGCUCGGGCACUGGUAUCUGCCCCCUCUGUGCUGUUCCCGAGGACUCCAACCACAUCUUCUUCGCCUGCGUCUCCGCCCGGUUCCUCUGGAGCUGCUUUCGCGAGAUUGUCGGUGGGAGUUGGUGCCACACCAAUUUCCCGGACUUAUUUGCUGAACUCCAAUUGUCCCCUUCGUCCUCUCGCCACAUUAGGUGGCUCGAGGUUGGGGUCCUUGCCUGGACGCUUUGGACCGUUCGCAAUAAGCUAGUGAUCCAGCGUACUCCUCUUCAUCGCGCUACUCAUGCUCUCUACAAAUUCUCGGGUUUCUUGCAGCUUCGGCGGCCGCUUAGCCGCCCCCUGGAUCGGGACGCCAUCUCUGCCUUCAUCGCCGAUCUCCGCUCGAUGGCCGUCCGCCUGUCCCCCCGCCGCCGCCGCCUCCGCCGGAGCCUGACUAGAUCGCCUGCACUGGGCAUGCUUUGUUUUUUCUCUUUCUUCUGGGCUUGUUGA